rnacentral:lncRNA from 1 species
CCACAUCUGAUGUAAGACAAUGGUAGAUUAGGCAAGGUUAUUAAUAGUCUGGCACCGUAGCAUUUUUCUUUCAGCACUAGUGUAGUGAUUCAUAUAGAUGGUAAGAGUUACAACAUUAGAGUCACGGUUUUUGGCAUUAUACAACUGUGAGGAUUCUGUGUAUUGUUAUCUACUGAGAAGAAAGUAAAGAAAUAGAGUGAUUGUUUGGGUGAUUGACUGAGUG